rnacentral:misc_RNA from 1 species
CAUAUCAUUCACUAUAUUGUGGUGCUCAACAUCUUUUCCGCGAAGAAUGAUUCUAAAGCCAGGAGGAAUUCUCAGGUAGAGAAUUGAGGUGUAACUCCUUAAUGAGUGCCUAUAAGUCAGGAAGUGCCUGGAGUUUGGAAACUCUCUUGCCAUCUGUAUAUUCUUCUCAUCUCGAUUGACACCUCGAAGUUGGAUAUCAUGAGGAUCAGUGUCAAAAUCAAGCUCCAAUAAUCCUUGAUCAUCCUCCCAAAGAUUGUAGAUUAUUA